UACAGAGGGGCAAGCGUUGUUCGGAAUUACUGGGCGUAAAGGGCGCGUAGGCGGCCUUCUAAGUCGAACGUGAAAUCCCCGGGCUUAACCUGGAACUGCGUCUGAUACUGGAUGGCUUGAAUUCGGGAGAGGGAUGCAGAAUUCCAGGUGUAGCGGUGGAAAUGCGUAGAUAUCUGGAGGAAUACCGGUGGCGAAGGCGGCAUCCUGGACCGAGAUUGACACUGAUGAGCGAAAGCCAGGGGAGCAAACGGG
rnacentral:rRNA from 1 species